rnacentral:rRNA from 1 species
CAGUCGCCGCGGGAAUACAGAGGGUGCAAGCGUUAAUCGGAAUUACUGGGCGUAAAGCGCGCGUAGGUGGUUUGUUAAGUUGGAUGUGAAAUCCCCGGGCUCAACCUGGGAACUGCAUCCAAAACUGGCAAGCUAGAGUAUGGUAGAGGGUGGUGGAAUUUCCUGUGUAGCGGUGAAAUGCGUAGAUAUAGGAAGGAACACCAGUUGCGAAGGCGACCACCUGGACUGAUACUGACACUGAGGUGCGAAAGCGUGGGGAGCAAACAGGAUUAGAUACCCCAGUAGUCCCUGUCUCUUAUAC